rnacentral:tRNA from 1 species
UAGCUCAGUCAGUUGAGCGUGGCACUAACAACGCCAAGGUCGCAGGUUCGAUUCCUGU